rnacentral:rRNA from 1 species
CCUACGGGUGGCAGCAGUGAGGAAUAUUGGUCAAUGGACGAGAGUCUGAACCAGCCAAGUAGCGUGAAGGAUGACUGCCCUAUGGGUUGUAAACUUCUUUUAUAUGGGAAUAAAAUGUUACACGUGUGGGAUUUUGUAUGUACCCUAUGAAUAAGGAUCGGAUAACCCCGUGCCAGCAGCCGCGGUAAUACGGAGGAUCCGAGCGUUAUCCGGAUUUCUUGGGGUUAAAGGGAGCGUAGGUGGAUUGUUAAGUCAGUGGUGAAAGUUGGCGGCUCAACCGUAAAGUUGCAGUUGAAACUGGCAGUCCUGAGUAGAGUAGAGGUGGGCGGAAUUCGUGGUGUAGCGGGGAAAUGCUUAGAUAACACGAAGAACUCCGAUUGCGAAGGCAGCUCACUGGACUGCAACUGACACUGAGGCUCGAAAGUGUGGGGAUCAAACAGGAUUAGAUACCCCGGGUAGUC